UAAGAUGCAAAAGCAAAAGGCCUGGGG
rnacentral:piRNA from 1 species